GUCGAACGAUGAACCACUUCGGUGGGGAUUAGUGGCGAACGGGUGAGUAACACGUGGGCAAUCUGCCCUGCACUCUGGGACAAGCCCUGGAAACGGGGUCUAAUACCGGAUACUGACCCUCACGGGCAUCUGUGAGGUUCGAAAGCUCCGGCGGUGCAGGAUGAGCCCGCGGCCUAUCAGCUUGUUGGUGAGGUAAUGGCUCACCAAGGCGACGACGGGUAGCCGGCCUGAGAGGGCGACCGGCCACACUGGGACUGAGACACGGCCCAGACUCCUACGGGAGGCAGCAGUGGGGAAUAUUGCACAAUGGGCGAAAGCCUGAUGCAGCGACGCCGCGUGAGGGAUGACGGCCUUCGGGUUGUAAACCUCUUUCAGCAGGGAAGAAGCGAAAGUGACGGUACCUGCAGAAGAAGCGCCGGCUAACUACGUGCCAGCAGCCGCGGUAAUACGUAGGGCGCGAGCGUUGUCCGGAAUUAUUGGGCGUAAAGAGCUCGUAGGCGGCUUGUCACGUCGGUUGUGAAAGCCCGGGGCUUAACCCCGGGUCUGCAGUCGAUACGGGCAGGCUAGAGUUCGGUAGGGGAGAUCGGAAUUCCUGGUGUAGCGGUGAAAUGCGCAGAUAUCAGGAGGAACACCGGUGGCGAAGGCGGAUCUCUGGGCCGAUACUGACGCUGAGGAGCGAAAGCGUGGGGAGCGAACAGGAUUAGAUACCCUGGUAGUCCACGCCGUAAACGGUGGGCACUAGGUGUGGGCGACAUUCCACGUCGUCCGUGCCGCAGCUAACGCAUUAAGUGCCCCGCCUGGGGAGUACGGCCGCAAGGCUAAAACUCAAAGGAAUU
rnacentral:rRNA from 1 species